UACGUAGGGAGCGAGCGUUGUCCGGAUUUACUGGGUGUAAAGGGCGCGUAGGCGGCCCUGCAAGUCAGAAGUGAAAUCCAUGGGCUUAACCCGUGAACUGCUUUUGAAACUGCAGGACUUGAGUGGAGUAGAGGUAGGCGGAAUUCCCGGUGUAGCGGUGAAAUGCGUAGAGAUCGGGAGGAACACCAGUGGCGAAGGCGGCCUACUGGGCUUUAACUGACGCUGAAGCACGAAAGCGUGGGUAGCAAACAGG
rnacentral:rRNA from 1 species